AACGAACGCUGGCGGCAGGCUUAACACAUGCAAGUCGAGCGCCCCGCAAGGGGAGCGGCAGACGGGUGAGUAACGCGUGGGAAUCUACCCAUCACUACGGAACAACUCCGGGAAACUGGAGCUAAUACCGUAUACGUCCUUCGGGAGAAAGAUUUAUCGGUGAUGGAUGAGCCCGCGUUGGAUUAGCUAGUUGGUGGGGUAAUGGCCUACCAAGGCGACGAUCCAUAGCUGGUCUGAGAGGAUGAUCAGCCACACUGGGACUGAGACACGGCCCAGACUCCUACGGGAGGCAGCAGUGGGGAAUAUUGGACAAUGGGCGCAAGCCUGAUCCAGCCAUGCCGCGUGAGUGAUGAAGGCCCUAGGGUUGUAAAGCUCUUUCAACGGUGAAGAUAAUGACGGUAACCGUAGAAGAAGCCCCGGCUAACUUCGUGCCAGCAGCCGCGGUAAUACGAAGGGGGCUAGCGUUGUUCGGAUUUACUGGGCGUAAAGCGCACGUAGGCGGAUUGUUAAGUUAGGGGUGAAAUCCCAGGGCUCAACCCUGGAACUGCCUUUAAUACUGGCAAUCUCGAGUCCGGAAGAGGUGAGUGGAAUUCCGAGUGUAGAGGUGAAAUUCGUAGAUAUUCGGAGGAACACCAGUGGCGAAGGCGGCUCACUGGUCCGGUACUGACGCUGAGGUGCGAAAGCGUGGGGAGCAAACAGG
rnacentral:rRNA from 1 species